rnacentral:lncRNA from 10 species
GGGUUUCACCGUGUUAGCCAGGAUGGUCUCGAUCUCCUGACCUCGUGAUCCGCCCGCCUCGGCCUGAUGUGUUGGUUUUAUAAGGGGGAGUUUCUCUGCACAAGCUGUCUCUCUUUGCCUGCCGCCAUCCGCGUAGUAAACGUGACUUGAUCCUCCUUGCCUUCCGCCAUGAUUUUAAGGCCUCCCCAGCCACAUGGAACAGUGAAGAUGCAAUGAGAAAGCACAGUCUUUGAAGCAAGAGAGAGCCCUUACGAGAUGCUGAAUCCGCUAGUGCCUUGACAUGGGACUUUCCAACCUUCAAAACUAAAAACUGUCAAGACCAGUGAACACCUAGUGUUACUUGCACCAAGAAUAGUAACCACGGCUCUUGCAGAACUUGAAGGUAUAUUAUUAAAAGCGAUGAUUGUGGAAAUUUCUGUCUUAUUACUGAACACAGAGGAAAACAGAAUUCACCAGUUAAAGCUCCUGGGCCUAGACUAUGUGUCUGUGUGUGUGUGUGUGUGUGUGUGUGUGUGUGUGUGUGUGCGCGCGCGGUAUAUGUAAGUUCUUUAAUUAUAAUUAUCUUUUAUUUCUUAUGUUAUUUCUGUGUUUUCAAAUGUUUUUCUCAUUUUGUUAAAUUUUUAAAUAUAUUGAUACAAAAUUGUUAAUGAGAUACUCAUGCAAUGUUUUGUAUGUCUGUGUGGUUUGUAGUGAUAUCCCUUCUUUUCAUUCCUGAUGCUUAAAAAUUUUGGUUUAUUUAUUUCCUUCUUGAUUUAUCUUGCUAAUCGUUUAUCAGUUUUAUUUCUAUUCUUAAAAUGCCAUUUAUUUUUCUUUCUAAAUUUUUUCAGUUGUGUCUGCCUUCUCUCUCAUUUGUUUCUUUGUUUCUUACAUUUUCCUUUAUUUCUUCCAUUGUGGGGCUUAUUAUUUUCUUUACGUGACUUCCUAUAAAUAAGUUCUUAUGUCAUUGACUUUUUAUUGUUUUAUAUGUUCCAACGUACAUACGUAUGAUUAUAAGUCUGGCUUUCAGCAGUGCCAUAACUGAAAUCUACAAGUUAUGAUAUACUUUUUAUUUUCAUUCCAUUUAAAAUAUAUUCUCACAUUUACUGUAAGUUCUUAUUUGAUUUAUGUGUUAUUAAAGACAUAUUUGUUGCUUUUUAUACAAACAUUUGAGAUUUCCAGAUUAGUUAUUAAUUUCCACUAUAAUUUUAUUGUGGUCAUAGAAUAUACUUUGUAUGUCCUUUGAAAUUUAUUAAAAUCUGUUUCCAGAGAAAAAUGUCUAUCCACAUGCAAAAGAAUAAAAUUGCAUCUUUAUCUAGCACCCUAAACAAAAAUCAACUCACGCUGCAUUAAACACUUAAACAGAAGACCCAAAAUCAUGAAACUCCUGAGAAAAAACUUAGGAGAAAAGCUCUUGAUGUGAACUUUGAGAGCAAAGGAUGAUAAAGUUUUAGGCCUCUGUAACUGAAGGGUUAGUAUUGGCAUUAUAGGACACGGGGAAACAAUUGGUAGAGCACAACUGGAAGAGAACGUUAGAAUUUUAGUUUUAGACAUGUUAAGUUAAGUAACCUGACUAGACCUAAGAACCAGCACCCCAAUGCCUAUCAUGCUUGUCAUUCUCUUCCUUUUUCUUCACAUUUUUUAAGGAAUCUUCUGCUGAGAUGAACUUUUAAAUACUUACAAUCAAAUUAUACAUAGAGCUUCACUGGGAAAAGCUAAAAUUGGAUAUAAUAUACCAAUGAAAGGCACAGCUGAUAUGAUUUUCUUAACCAUGCAGUUACAGCAUGCUAUGUAAUAACUGAGACCAAUGGAAUACAUUUUUCUUCCUUAAAAUUCUUGCUGAUAUGCUCUUCAUGUAAGAAAUAGUUUAGCUAACAUAACAUUUAAGGGUGAACACAAGUAACUAAUAAUUCUUUUUAGUUGUAAUAGAUGGUUUAAAGUAAUCAACAGAUGUUUUAUCUCAAUGAUGAUUUGCCAGGUGUAAUUUUCUUUAUUUAAAUACAUUCAGCAAAACAAAGGAGAAAUCAUGAUAGUCAUCUAAUUUUUAUUUUUGACUAUUCUUCAACUUUGAAAUAUUUGCCUAGAACGCAUUGUAUUUCUCAAGAGCAAUAUAAAUAUCAUAAGUACCAUCACUUAGUGCUACAUAAAUUGAGCAAAUUAUUUAGCAAUCCUGAAGUUCUAUAUCUCUCUUUCUCUAUUGCAUAUGUCAGUGAUCCUGUAGCCCUGGUUUCAAACUGCCGAUUCACAGACCAAAUGUCUCUCUGAGGACACUGUCAUCUGUCUCACUGGUAGAGUGAGAAAAAAUGUGAAAAUAUCAUGACUUUUCUACAUAAGUUAAAUGCAUCCAUUAUUUUGUAAUAACAUUUCUACUUUUUGGAAGUCAAUCUGUUGAUAGUAGAUGAUAAAUGAUAGCUAUUGCUUCUGUUUGUUUUCCAAGUAUAUAUUUGUCAAAAUAAAACUCAUAUAUUGGUUCCUAUUUUAAGUAUUUUUGUCUUCUUGUUUAAAUGUUACUACUUGUGAAAUACAAAAAUUCUAGAGGCAAUAAUCUACCUAAUAAUGUCCAAACAUUAUAAUUGUUUUAAAAGACCCUUCAUUUUGUCCUAUUCCUAUAUCUCCCCACUUAAUUUCCA